rnacentral:tRNA from 1 species
GGUUUCGUAGUGUAGUGGUUAUCACGUUCGCUUUACAUGCGAAAAGUCCCCGGUUCGGUCCCGGGCGGAGCCA